rnacentral:rRNA from 1 species
AGCGAAAUAAUAGUAGCGAAGUUCCUGAUGUCACACUGCCAAGAAAAGCUUCUAGUGAGAAAACAACUGCCCGUACCGUAAACCGACACAGGUAGUCGAGGAGAGUAUCCUAAGGUGAGCGAGCGAACUCUCGUUAAGGAACUCGGCAAAAUGACCCCGUAACUUCGGGAGAAGGGGUGCUGACUUCGGUCAGCCGCAGUGAAUAGGCCCAAGCGACUGUUUAUCAAAAACACAGGUCUCUGCAAAAUCGUAAGAUGAAGUAUAGGGGCUGACGCCUGCCCGGUGCUGGAAGGUUAAGAGGAUGGGUUAGCUUCGGCGAAGCUCAGAAUUGAAGCCCCAGUAAACGGCGGCCGUAACUAUAACGGUCCUAAGGUAGCGAAAUUCCUUGUCGGGUAAGUUCCGACCCGCACGAAAGGCGUAACGAUUUGGGCACUGUCUCAACGAGAGACUCGGUGAAAUUUUAGUACCUGUGAAGAUGCAGGUUACCCGCGACAGGACGGAAAGACCCCAUGGAGCUUUACUGUAGUUUGAUAUUGAGUGUUUGUACCACAUGUACAGGAUAGGUAGGAGCCGAUGAGACCGGAACGCUAGUUUCGGAGGAGGCGCUGGUGGGAUACUACCCUUGUGUUAUGAACCCUCUAACCCGCACCACUAAUCG